UACGAAGGGGGCUAGCGUUGCUCGGAAUCACGGGGCGUAAAGCGCACGUAGGCGGCUUGUUAAGUCAGGGGUGAAAUCCUGGAGCUCAACUCCAGAACUGCCUUUGAUACUGGCAAGCUUGGAGUCCGGGAGAGGUGAGUGGAACUGCGAGUGUAGAGGUGAAAUUCGUAGAUAUUCGCAAGAACACCAGUGGCGAAGGCGGCUCACUGGCCCGAUACUGACGCUGAGGCACGAAAGCGUGGGGAGCAAACAGGG
rnacentral:rRNA from 1 species